rnacentral:misc_RNA from 1 species
ACUGUAUUGUUUUCAACGAGGACGAGUUCUACGCGAGUGCUGGGUGAAAAAGAAAAGAAAACGAAAAACUAAAUAUCAAAGAAAAGUUAAGCGACGAAAACAGUCAGAGCCGCAGCGAGCGCGGCAUUUGGUCUGCAUUUUUUUCUCAACACGCACAAGUGUACCCGCAGCAGGCAAACAUUUCAACAACACGAUUUGACCAAAUGUGGUAAAAAUAGCAAAAGCCAGCAGCAGCAGCAGCAGCCGCCGCCGCUCCAUCGACGUCGCCGUCGUCUUCGCUGUCGACGGCCCAAUAAAAACCCACACAGCAGUAGCAGCCGCAGCAGCAGCAACAGCAAUAAAAGUAUCAAAAAGUGGAGCAAAUAAUUUCAGUUACCAGGCGAAACGUGCAGCGCAACACGCGUGAAUAAAUCCAAAAAGUGCAAGUGCAGGCCGCCAAAGACGCACACGCACAUACACCCACCUACAUAUACAUACACACGCUCACACAUACAUCCGCAUACGUACAUAUAUCUAAACGACAGAGCGCAAUGUCACGACCACGUCCGCGUCUCCCACCCAUUGGCAUUCCGCGUGAGCCGGAACCGGCAUUUGUGCCACCACGUAAUCUGGACUCCCGGGCGACCAUACAAAUCGGCGAUCAAACAUUCGACAUCGAUGCGGAUAGUUUGGAGAAGAUUUGUGAUUUAGGACGCGGCGCUUAUGGCAUCGUGGAGAAGAUGCGACACAGGCAGACGGGCACUGUGCUGGCCGUCAAGCGCAUCCCAAUGACAGUGAACUUCCGUGAACAGCAACGUCUGAUCAUGGAUCUGGAUAUAUCGAUGCGAUCCAGCGAUUGCCCCUAUACGGUCCACUUUUAUGGGGCCAUGUACCGGGAGGGCGAUGUCUGGAUCUGCAUGGAGGUGAUGAACACCAGUUUGGACAAAUUCUACCCGAAGGUCUUCAAAAAUCAGCUAACCAUGGAGGAGACGGUGCUCGGCAAAAUCGCGAUGAGCGUGGUUAGCGCCUUGCAUUAUCUGCAUGCCCAGCUGAAGGUCAUCCAUCGCGAUGUAAAGCCAUCAAAUAUAUUGAUCAAUCGCAGCGGCCAGGUGAAAAUAUGUGAUUUUGGCAUCUCAGGCUAUCUGGUCGAUUCGGUGGCAAAGACUAUAGACGCUGGCUGUAAGCCAUAUAUGGCACCGGAACGUAUUGAUCCGCAAGGUAAUCCAGCCCAAUACGAUAUACGCUCCGAUGUCUGGUCGCUGGGCAUCAGCAUGAUCGAAAUGGCCACCGGGCAAUAUCCCUAUAACAAAUGGCGAACGCCCUUUGAACAGUUGCGUCAGGUUGUUGAGGAUGAUCCGCCACGACUGACGGCCGGCACAUUCUCCGCAGAGUUCGAGGACUUUAUAGCGACGUGCUUGAAAAAGGAAUAUACGGCGAGACCCAAUUACGAGCAGCUGCUGCGGCACAGCUUUAUCGUGGAGCAUUUACAACGCAACACGGAUAUAUCCGAGUUUGUGGCAAGAAUAUUAGAUCUGCCCGAUGAGCAGGCGUCGCAGUAGAGCGGCAAGCGCAGCUGGAACAGAAGCAGGAGCAGGAGCUGGAGUAGGAGUAGGAGUACGCGUACGAGUAGAAGUAGGAGUAGGAGUAGAGCGUGCGGAGUUAAUCAAGGAUCAACAUGUCUUCUCUACUCAAUGUGAAACUAUUCAAAAAACAAAAUCGCUCAAAAGAUCGAAACGUGAAAAUUAAAACAAACAAUACAAACAACAUUAAACUAUAUAUAUAAACACGAGAAAAUAAAACCAAACUGUGCCUCAGCCUUGGCAGCCCAGUUGCUGUCAAACUGUAAAAUGUAAAACUAAAUUAAAAACUAUUAAAUGCCGUGCAGCAUGCAACAUGAAGGAAUUACAAAGAAAUGAAGAAGAAAAAAACAACGCCAAGCAAAAUGUGUAAAUUGUUUAACAAAUAUACGUGAAAUAGCUAAAUUAAUGUUGAAA